AGUGAACGCUGGCGGUAGGCCUAACACAUGCAAGUCGAACGGCAGCACAGUAAGAGCUUGCUCUUACGGGUGGCGAGUGGCGGACGGGUGAGGAAUACAUCGGACUCUACUUUUUCGUGGGGGAUAACGAAGGGGAACUUAUGCUAAUACCGCAUACGACCUACGGGUGAAGGCAGGGGAUCUUCGGCCCUUGCGCGAUUGAAUGAGCCGAUGUCGGAUUAGCUAGGUGGAGGGGUAAAGGCCUCCCAAGGCGACGAUCCGUAGCUGGUCGGAGAGGACGAACAGCCAAACUGGAACUGAGACACGGCCCCGACUCCUACGGGAGGCCGCAGUGGGGAAUUUUGGACAAUGGGCGCAAGCCUGAUCCAGCCAUACCGCGUGUGUGAAGAAGGCCUUCGGGUUGUAAAGCCCUUUUGUUGGGAAAGAAAAGCAGCAGGUUAAUACCCCGGUGUGCUGACGGUACCCAAAGAAUAAGCACCGGCUAACUUCGUG
rnacentral:rRNA from 1 species